rnacentral:lncRNA from 12 species
AAUAUACCCAAAGCAUUUUGAGUAAGAAGGCAAGUCUCAGUGUUCUUUUAUGUCUCCCCAUUUCACUAGAACACAAACCACUUGCUAAAUAGGUAUAAUUUGAGUCAAAUUGGUAUAAAUGCCUGCAAAAGAUAGGGAUAACACCAACAAUGAUAAGAAAAAAACAGCUAAAUGUUACCAAUUAAAUACAUCAGUAGAUUUGGGAGAAACAGCUGGAUUUGUCCUAACAGGCUGUUUGUGCUUUGCUUCUUCAGACAGAACCUCCAGAGGCAAAUAAACCAGAAGUAAUUAUGGGCAGCUUCAGGAAAAUUGCCUUCCUUGUGGGGCCAAAGACUGAACUCACACUGAAUGAACUCACAGCAGGAAACCUCAAGGCCUUUUUGGGACAAGUCAUGUCAUUCCAGAGCACUGUGUGGGAAAGGAACCAAGCAGUUCCUCCAACUGCUUCUACACUAUAGAGCAGCUACUGCCUUUCUGCAAGGUAAAGGCUAGACCUGAUGAACAAAAGGAGAUUUUCAUGUCCCCAAGAUGUUAAAUACACACUGACAGCCAAUCCAAAUAUUAUGAAAUUAAAUAACCUCCUCUAUUCUGCAUAAUAAAACCAAAUUGCUACAGUGGUGUCACUGAAUGCCACAUACAGAGAGGAUGAAGAAUCAGAGCAGCCCAUAGAUUUUUCUCCAGUCCUGCCAGCAGCACAUCUGCCUGCAACAAGGAAUUCCUAUAUCCAUGUGUUUCCUGUCAACCUGUGUGACAAAUGCAGCACACUCUUUGUGCUCCCAGCUAGCAGAGGGAGCAAAUGACAUAUAGAGAUAUAUAAAGCCCCUCUUUGUUGCCAUCCAUGGAUAGAAGGCAUUGCCCAG